UUAGAGUUUGAUCCUGGCUCAGGAUGAACGCUAGCGACAGGCUUAACACAUGCAAGUCGAGGGGCAGCGAGGGAGUGGCAACACUUCUGUCGGCGACCGGCGCACGGGUGAGUAACGCGUAUGCAACCUGCCCUUCACAGGGGGAUAACCGGGAGAAAUUCCGACUAAUACCGCAUACGUCCUUUGGGGGUAUCCCCGGGGGAUGAAAGAAUUAUCGGUGAAGGAUGGGCAUGCGUGAUAUUAGGUAGUUGGCGGGGCAACGGCCCACCAAGCCUACGAUAUCUAGGGGUUCUGAGAGGAAGGUCCCCCACAUUGGUACUGAGACACGGACCAAACUCCUACGGGAGGCAGCAGUGAGGAAUAUUGGUCAAUGGACGAGAGUCUGAACCAGCCAAGUCGCGUGAAGGAAGACGGAUCUAUGGUUUGUAAACUUCUUUAGUGCGGGAACAAAGCGGCGUCGUGACGCCUGAUGAGUGUACCGCAAGAAUAAGCAUCGGCUAACUCCGUGCCAGCAGCCGCGGUAAUACGGAGGAUGCGAGCGUUAUCCGGAUUUAUUGGGUUUAAAGGGAGCGCAGGCUGCGAGGCAAGUCAGCGGUCAAAUGUCGGGGCUCAACCCCGGCCUGCCGUUGAAACUGUCCUGCUAGAGUUCGAGUGAGGUAUGCGGAAUGCGUUGUGUAGCGGUGAAAUGCAUAGAUAUGACGCAGAACUCCGAUUGCGAAGGCAGCAUACCAACUCGCGACUGACGCUGAGGCUCGAAAGCGUGGGUAUCGAACAGGAUUAGAUACCCUGGUAGUCCACGCAGUAAACGAUGAAUACUAACUGUUCGGAGGGCGACCUCUGAGUGGUAAAGCGAAAGCGUUAAGUAUUCCACCUGGGGAGUACGCCGGCAACGGUGAAACUCAAAUGAAUUG
rnacentral:rRNA from 1 species